UACGUAGGGGGCAAGCGUUGUCCGGAAUCAUUGGGCGUAAAGAGCGUGUAGGCGGCCCGGUAAGUCCGCCGUGAAAGUCCAGGGCUCAACCCUGGGAUGCCGGUGGAAACUGUCGGGCUAGAGUCCGGAAGAGGCGAGUGGAAUUCCUGGUGUAGCGGUGAAAUGCGCAGAUAUCAAGAGGAACACCAAUGGCGAAGGCAGCUCGCUGGGACGGUACUGACGCUGAGACGCGAAAGCGUGGGGAGCGAACAGG
rnacentral:rRNA from 1 species